rnacentral:rRNA from 1 species
CAGCCGCCGCGGUAAAACGGAGGGUGCAAGCGUUACUCGGAAUCACUGGGCGUAAAGGACGCGUAGGCGGAUUAUCAAGUCUCUUGUGAAAUCUAACGGCUUAACCGUUAAACCGCCUGGGAAACUGAUAAUCUAGAGUAAGGGAGAGGCAGAUGGAAUUCUUGGUGUAGGGGUAAAAUCCGUAGAGAUCAAGAAGAAUACCCAUUGCGAAAGCGAUCUGCUGGAACUUAACUGACGCUAAUGCGUGAAAGCGUGGGGAGCAAACAGGAUUAGAUACCCGCGUAGUCCCUGUCUCUUAUAC